rnacentral:rRNA from 1 species
UACGUAGGGUGCGAGCGUUAAUCGGAAUUACUGGGCGUAAAGCGUGCGCAGGCGGCGCGUUAAGACAGGUGUGAAAGCCCCGAGCUUAACUUGGGAAUUGCGCUUGUGACUGGCGUGCUGGAGUGUGGCAGAGGGAGGUGAAAUUCCACGUGUAGCAGUGAAAUGCGUAGAGAUGUGGAGGAACACCGAUGGCGAAGGCAGCCUCCUGGGCCAGCACUGACGCUCAUGCACGAAAGCGUGGGGAGCAAACAGG